CAGGAGGGCGAUGUGGAGCAGAGGAACCAUGGCUUUGAUUAUGGAGUUCAACACGACUUGUAAACCUGCGGCACAAACAACUCUAAUUUGUAACAAACUACCUCUCCAGCUCUGCAUUCUGCUGCGUCUGACUAAUCACAACUUUGCUGCAUCACCACGCAGGGAGACGGAUGCAGGAAACGCGGACAUGCACGCCACCACGGUCCUGAAUUAGGAAUUUGUCUUUGUCCUCUCAUACAGACGCCCCUUUGAGCACGCAGCAAGCAAUGAGAAGAGUGCCUGACGGAAACGGGGACGAUAAGACAGACGUCGCUCCCUCUGCUUUAAUCCAUCAACUGGCUGUUGCUAUGGUGUUUCUCCCGCCGCCCAAUCAGAGCAAUGCUGCUGAGCACGCUCAGAGAUGAGAAUCACAGGACAACUGCUUGUCUUCGAUACGACGGACAAAAGGGUGAUGGAAUCGGCAACUAAGAAAUCUGACAACUAAUUUAGAAAGGUGAAAAACGGCACAAUUCAGUACGCAUGCACAGCGACCUCCCAUGGAGUCCUGCAACCACCAGGCAACUUGCUUGUUAAUUGUGCACUUUGGGAGCCAGCCGAAAAGCUGAUUUUAAUCCAUCAUAACCGCAACUGAUGGGAUACAUCUGCUGUCUGACACCAGUCUGUGAAAUUGUCUUUAAACGUACAACAAAAGCACAAAUCAAGAAAUCAUUUUCAAAUAAAUACUUAACCUAUCAGUAAUGUACUAAUAAAAUUUAAUAAAUCACAUAAGAAUUUAUUUAUUUUUGUUAGAUGUGUAAACAAUUCCUUACAUAGUCAUACAAGUAAUUACAUGUUAGAUUCAUUAAUGAAACUUUGAUUUAAAUAUGUCAUGUGUUUUUUUGUGUUUUUUUUUUUUGGUUUAUUUCGGAUUUCCUGUACUUUUAAGUAUUUGAUAUAUCUAAACAAAAAAAGCAGAAAAUUAAGCAAAUUCACACAGAACUAAAAUAGAAACUCAGCAAAAAAAAUAAUGAUGGAGCAGUCAUUCAUCCACAAUGUAGGUUAAGAAUGGACAAGUCACACUUAUUAAGGUUUAAAAAAUCAUUUUCAAAACCGAGUGUUGUUAUGCCUGUUUGAAGCUUUACAGUCGUUUUAUUUAAAUGCCAGAGGAAUUGCUUGAGUGCCUGGAGUUUGUUGUACGGACUGUAAAAUAAUCCAGUGCCUCCCCGUUCUCACUUGUUGCUGUGCACUGCCAGUAAGAUGGCUGAAAGUGGCCUUCUAAAUCUUUCCAUUGCCCACAUACAAAAAAAAAAAAAAAUCUAUCAUCAGGAUAACUAUCUGAGCAGACGGCUUAACUUGACCACCUAUUACAUUACAGUUUAUAAUUAUUUUACCAGGAGGAGGACUAAUUGUUCAUUUCCUGUUUAGAUAAAGUGAUUAGUAAACAACAAAAGUUGUCCAUGACAUUGCUGUUGAAGUUUGAAGGAUACAGAAGACAUACUGUUCCCUUUAUUCGGAAACAGACAUCAUUUGAGGGGAGCAGAUGAUGCCUGCUGUAAUUAAUCCCCGAAAGCUUUCACUCAGGUCAUUUGAUGCAAAUUGGAAGGAUCAAUGCGAUCUUGUGUCACUUUAAUUGCAAUUUGCAGCUCGCCAUGCAAUUUCUCUGCAGAAAUCGCAUUGUGAACCAUAGCGCUCUUGCCGUCACUCUUGCGGUUUUCAUUUUUGCGCGCUCGGACAAAGCAAGCCAGCUUUCACACUUGAACAAAUGUAGACGCGUGCAGUUAGCGUUAGCUUGCCCGAGUGAACAAAAUACACAUGACGAUGGUCAUACUGUAGCCGCGUAAUAAAGUGUUUCCAUGAAAUAUUCUUAAAGUAGGAUAAUCAAAUAAAAGUGUGCUAAGACAUCCAUGCAUUUCUGUUUAACCGUAAGCCAAAGAUUAAUUUAUUCCUGUAGGUAAAUGAAUCAAUGAUGACAGUUCAGCUAAAAGCUACUAGUGCCUUUUAAAGCUUUCCAAAUCCAGGCGUAGAGUUCCAGGACAGCAGUGUGCCUGCCCCUCUUAAGUGACAAUUUGGUAUAGCUGGGCCUCACAGACUCCAAAAAGGCCGGAGAAUGUUGGUGUCUGUGGAAAAGAACAGAGAGCAGACGCCUGCCUGGCUCUCACUGUCAUAUAUUUGUAAGUGGAUUUAUAAUUUCCAGGCCCUGACCUGUCCUCCGUGAAAGGAUGGUCCUGCCUCGCCUCAGCCCUGCAAAUUACCGCUAACCCUGACCAUGAAACGUCUUUGUCCAAAUCACACGGCCUGUGAUCUCAGAGUAUGGCUCUAAAGCUGCUGAACCUGUCAACGCUUCCUUUUGGUUUUUAUGGCUGCUUUUACAACAACGUGAGGAGAGGGUUGAGUGAUUAUAUAAGGGUUUUAGAAUCUUUAACUCUAUAACAGUUUAUCUGAUUCAGUUCCGAUUGUUGAAUCUUUGUUGGGAAUUUGUUUCUUUGACAAGAUUGCACUAAAACGACCUACCUGAAUUUCCUGUUAAUAUUGUAGCUUAUAAAAAUAUUAAUUGUAAUCUCCUUGAACUUUUACAGAUUUUGUCAUGUCACAUCCGUAUAUAUUUUUCUGCACUUUAUUGAGUUUUUAUGUGAUACGCCAACAGUGGAGUUUCCAUUUGUAGUGAGCUCCCCUGAGUCAAUACUAUACAGAUCCACAGGUUUGCAGCUUUUAUCACAUCUAGCGACUGACAUUUGUGCCCAUUCUUUUUCUCAAACUUCUGAGCGUUCACACCUGUUAGUUUGCAGCAAAAAGCAAUUUGCAAAUUCGGUUUAAGUCUGAUCUGACCACAGUGCUUUCUUCUAUAUAUUUAUUAAGGUGUUCCCUACAUUAUUCCUCACUCUACACAUCAUGACUUUUGUUCAACAAGGGCUUUCUUCACCCAACGAAAACAUAAGGGAAAGAUUUGUGAAGUUCAUGACUGAUAGUUGUUCUGUUCACACUUUGUCCUCCUGACCUUUGGUCUCCUGCAGCCUUUCUAACGUUAUCAAGGGAUUCUUGGCUGGUUCUUCAUAAUUUGUGAAUUCAUUUGGGCUUUAUUUAAUAAUAUCAAAGUAAAUAGGCUGAAUUCAGAUACAUACGUUUAAAUACUUUGUUGUAGUUUUUUUCUUUCCCUAUCAGAUAACAUUAAAGUUUGAAGCAGUAUUUGCGAGGCACCGUUUUGCUGCAGAUUGAACAGCUCAUAUAAAAAUGCUUUUGUGGUCAUGAUUUGGAUUAGGAGAUUGGACCUUUUGCUCUCUGAAUCCCUCGCUUUCUUCCAGCACACAAACUAAAUGAGGUCUACCUUUGCUGUCAGAGCAUUUCACACCUCUGUUUCACAUCUAUUUAAGCAGCAAAGCCGUAUUAUUAUCAAGUCUCUUCAUUCCCAAAAGCCCAAAUGUGUCAUUGCCCGUUUCACACAUCCUGCCACACUCUUCCUCCUUUUUUUAUCCCCCACCCCUUCUCUUUUUUCCUCUCUUUCAUAACCUUCUGUUGCCCUGCGUGUCUUCUUGUUGCCACUUUUUCCACCUCCGUGCAGUACACCCUUUCCAACACGGUGCAGCGUGUGCUUGCGUUCCAAUAAACGUUGUGUGUUUUUGUGACAACGGGCAGUCAAAGGAAGCUCGGGCGAUUAACUCUGAUAGCCACCAGAUGCCUGGCUUAGAGGUAGAGUCACAGUUUAUAACCUUUCAGGAAACCUUUCAAACAUUUAGAUGGACAGCAAUGUAUGACGAGUCCCGUAUGAAAGCAAAAGGAAUUGACACAUAAGAGGGGUCAGGAGUGAACAAACGGGCAGGGGGGGCAUGGAGAGGAGGGGAAGGAACCCAAGAGGUAAACUGUGAAUUUGGAACACUGUGUGCAGUAAAUGCUGGCUUUGUUCUUUAAAGAGAACAUGCCAUGUUUUCCUCAUGAGCUUGGGCUUUGGAGAACAAACAGCACAUGAGUGAAGGCAGGUGACGGUCACAUUCUUCAAACUGGCCGGGAUGUGACCGCAGAUCAAAGCCUUGAUUGGCCACAAGCUGCAGAUGUUGUUUGUGCUGUGAUUCCUUUGUGUUUGUCUGUGUGUGUACGUUUUAGCAUUUCUCACCUUGUAAGGCCCGUUUUUCCAACAAACGCUACCUUGUGAGGACCCAUUGCUCCUAACAGGACCCGUGAGAAGUACUGUUAUUCGGUAAAGGGUUGUGUCUGAGAUCUUACUUGAGUUUAUGUUAGGUUUCAGGGCUAGGGCUAGGAUAUAAAAAUGACUGAGAAAUGAGUGGAAGUCAAUCCAAAGUCCUUGUGAAGACAGAAAGAUGUAACGUGUUUGAUUGUGUGUGUGCGUGUGUGUGUGUUCACUGAAAUCUGAUCUUUCAGAUUGUGAAUUCAACAGGCAGAUGGUUCAGAGAACAAGUGGCAAAAGCAACAACUAAGCAACAAAUUAACGGACACUGGGCGGAGAAACAAACUUGCAUUUCAAAACUACAAAAUAUUCAACCAAUGAAAUGAAGACUUAUGUCGAAUGUUUUGUAGCAGUUCUUUUCUUUGUCAUGUCCCAGAAUCCAAAGCAAUUUUUUUUUUUUUUAGCUGAUUAUUCCAUCUAAGAAAUAUAUCCGAACUGGGAAAGUUGGGAAGAGACCAUCUCUCAAUCGGUCUACAAAAAAAUAUAUAUAUAUAUAUUCUCCAUAAAACUAAUAUCAGUCAGAGUUGAAGACAUGCAGAUGUUUGAAACUGUUCACCAGUUUUGACAGAACUGUCAUAAAAAUCCAGUUUAACUUGACGUAUUUCUGUUAGAGUAAACAAUAUGUCGGAGUUCAUUCUUCAAAAUGUCUUUGGGCUUCUUUCAUACCCAAAAUGAUCAGCUUCCAGACCAGAGAAAGAAACCUUUGUGCUAGUAAGGACCCAUCUGUGUUGAGACAUGAACUCCGGCUCAAUUUACUUUACACGACCCAGUCAGGGAACACAAGAAAAAUGUAAGAAUCGCUUCUGUUAUUAUAAAGCGUCUGCAGGUGUUUUGGGGGAAACAAACUAAUAAAUAAAAAGAAUCAAUAGUUCAGUGGCAUUUAAAACUGGAAUGAAUCACAACAGCAGCAGAAAGUUGUUGUUUUUUCUCUCCAAUGCAUCUAGUACAAGUGGUGGUAUCCUUGUUCGUUUAUUUAUUGAUUGAUAACAGCAGUUUGAGGCAUAAUAACGAGAACCAGACGACCAACAAAAUGUCGAUGUAAAGAAAAACAAUGAACUUUCCGCUUAGCAAUCCUUACAUAACCGAAGUUGCCAUGAGAAAAAAAAAAUAUUUGUGGCAAGCUGCAUAUGAUUCAGCCUAAUUGGCAGGUCGCGUGACAGAGUGUUGCACCGGUCUCCUGAGACUCUCCCAGCGGAAACCCAUUUUCACUUAGAAAUUCCCGGAUGCAUUUUCUAAUCACUGAGCUGCAACUUGCAGAGUGUGAAAUUAUGGUGCCAACUCCACAAAAUUUCUGCUUGAGGAAAUACAAAACACACAUUUUUUUUUUUGGGGGGGGGUGGAUUCUGUGGUGUUGUACUAUAUUGUUUCACUCAGAGUCCAACAGCUUCCCCAAUGUCUCCAAAAAAUAACUGAGCUCUUUGCUAGUAAGGACUUAUAGAGACAAAUUAGGCCAUGGUUCUCAACUAGAAAAUGGUGGACUGCUUCCUCCAGGUUGGGGGUUACAUUUCACUUUCUGGUUUGGAAACACCAUGGGUUCCCUCCAGAGAGUGUGGGUUAUGCCCCACAACUUGAUCCCAGAGAACUUUAAGACGCCGAUCAAAUGGUAGAUGGUGACCACCGCCUGCUUCCCCUGGGAAUGGGUAUUUCACAGUUUCAGACUUCUCCGUUCUGAACAUCGUCUCUCUUUUCAUCAUGAGUGAACACAAAAGUUUCAUAUGCAGAAGUGAGAACAAAGGAUGAUGGAAGGAUUGGGAGGAUGUGGGCUUGGUGGUUGAAGCUUUCAGAAACCAAAGGCUGUUAUAUUAUGCGAUACACAACAGACCAUGAAACAUUUCCGGUAACUGAAAAUCAGUUAGGUCAUCCAUAUUUGAAAUGGUGCUAAUUUCAUUAUGUCGAACUAGGGUGACCCUAUAAAUGUCCCAGUUGUGUUCUGACCUCCUCCGCUGUCAGUCAACAAACGUCAAACAACCCUGCUGAAUCGGCCAGGAUGAGAAAUCUUGCUGCCUCCCUUCUCUCUCCUCCUCUCCAUCUUUCCUCGUGUCAUCCACGGCUGUCCCCUCUCCCCUCACCUCCUUUCUUCUCUUUCUCUCUCUUUGUCCCUGUUGGAACAGCGUGUUUGUUUAAUGUGGUGUCUCCAUGGUUACCCGUCUGCCACACUGAUGUAAUGUCAUUAAUCAUCAACUUUAUCAUGCUGCGACCCAGACGCAUGUAUGCAGAAAGCCGGCCGUGGCAUUUUACACGGCAGAAAGACGGGAGGAGGGUGGUCCACUUAAGAAUAUUAAAAAGUAACAGUGAGCAGACUCAGGUUUCCUUCGAUCUUUAAGGAACGUCUGCGUCUUCACGUACAAAAUAAGAAGAUGCAUUUGAAGUACAAUGAAUGCUCUUCUUUUUCCUCCUUAUGCCCUUCCAUCUCCUCAUGAGAUUGCUCGCUCUCUUUUGGUUAACAUGACAACAGACAGUCAAUGUCGCGCCUCCUGCUCUGGUGACAUCACCACAGGCGCCAAGCCAAUCCCCGAAAAACCUCUUUAUCAUCUCUCUCUCUCUCCCCAUCUCGCUCUCUUCCUUGUUCUUUCUUUCAUGGGCAUAUUGAUCUGGAAUACAAAUCACAGAUGCAAUAAAAAGGGCUGGUGGAAAAGUGGUAGUGGAAAAAAAGAGGUGGAGUGGAGGAAGAACAGAGAAUGGAGGGGAGAAUAACAGAUAGCCUCACUUAUAUAUGAGCUACUGCCUUACUUCCAAUGUCUGAGAUGUGGUGUAUUUUUGCUUUUAAGUCCUGCACUUUAAAAUGUUAUGGAACGGAGAAAGGCAAUGUUAUCAAUUUACUUUAGAAAUGAGAAAGGCCCGACUGAAGAUUAUUAUUAUUUUUUUUUUUUACUUGGUGUGUCUCUGUAAAAUUAGAAUUGGGCACCAGAAAAUAAUUUCAUUUUAUUUA